UUUGAUUCGAACGGAGAGAAGCGGAAUCAGCCGAGAGAAGACUGGGGAAAAUAUGGAAAACACUUAAAGGAAAGGUACACAUAUAUGAAAGAAAACCAGUUAGAAGAUAUAGACAAUACGUGAAAUGAAUUCAAAUGAAAAACAACAUGUUUAUUGUUUGAGGGAAUCAGAAUAUUGGGAGAGAACCAAGACCUUCAAAAGUAACACAGAUAAUCCUUGACUAUUUAUAAUAGAGUUGGGUACACCUGUCUAGUACUUGAUUCGAACAGACAAACUCAGUGUUGACAGUCUUGUGAUACAGUAGAACGAGUACUAAGACCCUUAGUCUACCGAUCCCCACCCCAACAAUGGACAACAAAGACAUCAACAGAGAAGGAAUAUGUAAAUCAAUUAACUAAAUGUGAAUAAAAAGGCAAUAGGACUAAAAUUCGGAAUAGUGCUUAAAGAAAAUAAUAGCAUAAGCACAUACAUAUAAAAUAUUAUCUUCAUGUUUUUUUUUAGAAACUCACUAUCAACAGGAAAAGUAUCUCAUGAUUGUAAUAUAGCAGACGUAAUGAUUGAAGGUCAGGAUUAGAGAUCCUAUGAUUUAGUGUUC